CUGUGACUCCUACGGGAGGCAGCAGUGGGGAAUAUUGCACAAUGGGCGCAAGCCUGAUGCAGCCAUGCCGCGUGUGUGAAGAAGGCCUUCGGGUUGUAAAGCACUUUCAGUUGUGAGGAAGGUGGUGUCGUUAAUAGCGGCAUCAUUUGACGUUAGCAACAGAAGAAGCACCGGCUAACUCCGUGCCAGCAGCCGCGGUAAUACGGAGGGUGCGAGCGUUAAUCGGAAUUACUGGGCGUAAAGCGCAUGCAGGUGGUUGUUAAGUCAGAUGUGAAAGCCCGGGGCUCAACCUCGGAACUGCAUUUGAAACUGGCAGACUAGAGUACUGUAGAGGGGGUAGAAUUUCAGGUGUAGCGGUGAAAUGCGUAGAGAUCUGAAGGAAUACCGGUGGCGAAGGCGGCCCCCUGGACAGAUACUGACACUCAGAUGCGAAAGCGUGGGGAGCAAACAGGAUUAGAUACCCUGGUAG
rnacentral:rRNA from 1 species